rnacentral:tRNA from 1 species
UGGCUCAGUUGGUAAAGCAUGGUGCUUGUAACACUAGGGUUGUGGGUUUAAUUCCCAC